rnacentral:lncRNA from 1 species
GCUUCCAUGGGAGAGCCAGCAAAGACAGCUUUUGCUCAUUAAACUAAUAAUGUAGUAAUUUAGUUCAAAUUGCCACAGCUUUCAGCUGGUUCUGAUAAGAUGGGCUUUAAACUGUGGUAGAGAAGAAAUAGGCACCUUCUUGUUCUGCAGCCUGUAUCACAGUCUGGCAUCCUCUGCCACAAAGGUGCAGCUGGACUGGGCAACUGCAGCAGCCAAAGUGCACCACCUCACACCUGCAGAAAGGCAGAAUCCUGUCUGUGUGCUGAAUGUCUCACUACCCCCAGUUUCAGCACUUCAGUUCUUUAAUUCUACCCACACCCUGCAUGUUUAACCCCAGGAUCUCAAAGUUUCUGUGUUUACCUGUGAUGACAGUAAGUCAUGUUUGGAGUUUGGAGGGAGGUGGGGUGGUUUCUUGAGGUUUAUGUUUGUUUGAUUUUUGCUCAGCAGCUCUCCUGGUACUUUCUGAGAAUCUUGCCAGACUGGUAGGGUAUGACCAAGCCCAAAGGACACUUACAGAGUACACAAGGGAGGUUCACCCAAAAACAGUAAACAGUGAUAAACAAUUAAGUUUAUCCCCUGGGAACUGCUCACUUGUCUUCUCAAACUUCAUAGAUCUUUUCUAGAAAUUCUUCGUCUAUUCCUGAAUCUCAGUAAUUUUUAACAUGCUACUACUUCAAACAAAGCUGCCACUGAAGUCUGCUAGGACAGAUCAGGCACAAAAAGAAGUUUUGGUUUAAACCAAACAAUUUUAAGUGAUGCCAUAUGAUGCCAGAAUAAAUGAACCAUUACACCAAUGUCCCUGCUUAUAAAAAACAAAACAAAUUUUUCUUAGAAAAUGGAAGUGCCUGAGGACCCUGAGCAGUCAGGAGUAAAUGUUUAAUCCUGGGAGAAGUGCGGGCUGGGUUCAGUCACGGGGCAGAGCAGAAGGGCUGCUCAGGACCAGGCACCUCAAACCAAAGCACCUGGGGCACAGAGGGCUAUGGCCAAGCACCCCAGUGAGCUCAGAACCUGUUAGAAGUGAGCUGAACCAAGUAUCACUGAAUGCAUCCUGCACCAAGCAUGAAUAACAGCCUGACCAUCAGAGCACACAGAAACACAAACUGAGAACCCAACUGUUUCCUGUGAGGGAAGCUGCAGAUUUUUUGAUUAUGCACAAAUAUUUUCCUAGUGUGAUUCAUCCACCCUUGAUAUUGGAUUAAGACCACAAUAUGAUAAAAAUAAUAUUAUUAACACAGCAUUAUUGUAGACAUUAAUCUGAUAAUGCAAAUGGCAAAGAUCAGACCUUUUUUACAAGGCACAGAAAGAUAAGAAUGUUUACCAUGUCAAAAUAACCUCAGAA